GUGGCUAAGAGUCCUCCUAAAAGAGACACAAAGUCUGGUUUCAUCUAAAAAGCAGCGUGAACCAACCAUCAUGCUGAAGAUCUUAAAGCUCCACCUCUAUCUGCUUAUAUGGUGUCAAGCUGCAGAGACUUUAACAGAUCAACUAACAGAUUUGGGUCAAAAUGUGACUAUAAACUGUGAUCUUGAUGCAAAGGUGGCCACAUGGUUUUUUCUGAAUUUACCAAAUCCUCCGGUUGUGCUAUUGGACUCACUCUUAAACCCACAAUCAGUAUAUUACUACAAAAAUAACUUCAGGUUCAAAUAUUCAGUGCAACCUAAACAUUGUCUUUCCAUAAAUAACAUCACUUUUAAUGAGUUAGGAGUUUAUUAUUGCAUAAACACAGAAACAGAGGUAAAAUUCAGCAACGGCAUCAGACUACAGACUAUCAGCAUACACACUGAUCCAACUACACCUGCAGUUACCGAGUUACCACAGUGUCAGAAUUGCACUGAAGUGUUGCUAAAUGAGCAGACAACAUGGAUGAAUCUUCUUGCUCUAAUAUUUUGCAUGAUCAGUGUUUUACUGAUCAUUGGGAUGAUAGCAUUCCUGAGAUUGUUAAAAGUUUCAUCUGAUGGAAGUUACCAAAAACCACAACGACAUAUGGACCAAGAGUAGUAUCAAAUUACAGAUCUUGGGGUGACCAGAGUCCCAACUCUCUUAAAAUUGUAAAGGUAACACUUUAGAAUAGGUAAGACUUGUUAACUAUUAACUACAACAUUUAUCUAAAUACAUUCUUAAUUU